GGCCCGUUAGCUCAGUUGGUUAGAGCAUCGUGCUAAUAACGCGAAGGUCGCGGGUUCGAUCCCCCACGGCCA
rnacentral:tRNA from 1 species